GACGAACGCUGGCGGCGUGCUUAACACAUGCAAGUCGAGCGGUAAGGCCCUUUCGGGGGUACACGAGCGGCGAACGGGUGAGUAACACGUGGGUGACCUGCCCUCAGCUCUGGGAUAAGCCUGGGAAACCGGGUCUAAUACUGGAUAUGACUCCAUGACGCAUGUUGGUGGGGUGGAAAGCCUUGUGCGGCUGAGGAUGGGCCCGCGGCCUAUCAGCUUGUUGGUGGGGUGAGGCCUACCAAGGCGACGACGGGUAGCCGGCCUGAGAGGGCGACCGGCCACAC
rnacentral:rRNA from 1 species